UGCGUAGGGCGCAAGCGUUGUCCGGAAUUAUUGGGCGUAAAGAGCUCGUAGGCGGCCUGUUGCGUCCGCUGUGAAAUCCCGGGGCUUAACCCCGGGCUUGCAGUGGAUACGGGCAGGCUGGAGGCAGGCAGGGGAGAACGGAAUUCCCGGUGUAGCGGUGAAAUGCGCAGAUAUCAGGAGGAACACCGGUGGCGAAGGCGGUUCUCUGGGCAUGUCCUGACGCUGAGGAGCGAAAGUGUGGGGAGCGAACAGG
rnacentral:rRNA from 1 species